AGCUUUGAGCAGUGGCAGUAUCAUAGCCAAUGAGGUUUAUCAGAGGUGUGAUUGUUACUAAUUGAAAACUUUUCCCAUUACCCCGCUGUGACAACUUGCAAUAAAAAUUCAUCAAUU
rnacentral:snRNA from 1 species